rnacentral:rRNA from 1 species
CAGUAGCCACGGGAAUACGGAGGUGCAAGCGUUAUCCGGAUUCACUGGGUUUAAAGGGUGCGUAGGCGGGCAGGUAAGUCAGUGGUGAAAUCUUCGAGCUUAACUCGGAAACUGCCGUUGAUACUAUCUGUCUUGAAUAACGUUGAGGUGAGCGGAAUAUGUCAUGUAGCGGUGAAAUGCUUAGAUAUGACAUAGAACACCGAUUGCGAAGGCAGCUCACUAAACGCUCAUUGACGCUGAGGCACGAAAGCGUGGGGAUCAAACAGGAUUAGAUACCCCUGUAGUCCCUGUCUCUUAUACA